CCUAAAUGUUAUAAAUGAAAUAAUAGGGAUGGUGGCGUUCCCAUGACUGUUAACGACAAAACGUCGUCGCUCGACAUUUUAAAUGAGAUCCAUUUGACUUCUAUCUCAGCUUCCUGCUGGUUCUUUCACUAGGGGCGUCGCCUGAUUAGUGAAGAUUUAUAAUUUCAGUAACAGUAAUUUAUUGAAUUAUGUUUUUAUUAUUUCUUUCAUUAACGAAUUGAAGUGAUUGAAUCAAUCUCCCCGGGUCAUGGAUUAUAUACGGAUAUUGGAUAUGCAGUCUCGGAUUCGAGUAACCUGGUUGAUCUUUUAUGAGCUUACUGUCUUUCUCUUCAAAUUUACCGAAAUUUCGAGGUGAGUCCUCGAUGCUAAGCUUGACUGCUGCAAAUUCGCUUUCUCUAAGCUUAGUACAGUGAGGCCUAUGAGAGUGAAGAAGUACUCAUCGUUACGUACACUACUGGUGAUGAAAGAAAUUGCACUUCAUGGAGCCGAUCGUGAUUCUGUAAGACUAAGUUAGACCUUGCCUUUGUAGAUUUUGACGCCUAAUAGGUAUUUCUACUUCACGGAAAUCAGGAAACAAAGGUUUACUUAGAGAGGUAUUGUUUCUGAAAAGAGUGCAGAAUUUGUACCAGAAGAAAAGAAUAGACAAAUAUCUUUGGGUUCUUUGGAGGAGCUAGACCAUUUAAAUAGAGAACUUGUAGGUGAAGGAGAGGGUAAUCCAGUUAAUUUCAUUGAUAUAUUAUUGUCACACCCAUGGAUGGGAAACUGGUCUCAUGAAAAUUUUCUUAGAGGGGCAGGUCUAUUUUGGGGCCCUGAUUCAAAUGAAACUUCCCUAAAGAAGUCAGACUUAAAGGGUGUUAGAGACUACAGAAAUGAGGGAGCAUUUGCUGUCUUGGAGUCUCCUCAUUCCAGUAAUCCUGAGUUCAAGCGUUCAUAUAGUUAAUGAUAUGCAAAAGAUGGACCAAAUGAAGAAGAUGGAAGAUGCUUUCCAGGCCAUAGGAGAGAUGAGUUUUUCCAGCUUUGCCACCACGAGCCUGAAGUAGUUGGUAGACGGUAACGACUGAGGAGGAGAAAUUUAAUUAAUGAUGUUUUAGUUAAUAAUAAUUUAUUUAUUUAUUGAAAAAAACAACGAUCGAGUUUUUAUUAAAAAAAAAAAAGAAACAGACUCAAUUGAACACGGCGGUGUAACAUAUGACGACGGAAAGGUGAGGUGGCAAAGUGACGUCAUAAGGAAGUGGAGAGAAUAGAUUUCAUUUCGUGAAUGGAUCGGGUUGGCAUUGGAUCCGUUUUCAAUCGUGUGAACACACGUGCCACUAAAUAUCCCUAACUCCUUUUUUUUUUUU